CCCAGAGUGAAAGACAGAGGAACCAAUCGAGGCUCGGCUGACCUCAGACGUCUAAGGCGAUAGGCGUUGCUAAGAAAAGGGGGUGGGACGAUACCCAGUUGCCAAGACGACGGCUUCCGGGUGGGCGGCUUGAGGUGGCUUCCGGCCGCCAGGCGAGACUCCGCGGGAAAACUCCCUGCUAGAGAGACUAGGAGAUUUGGGGCUGCGGCCGUUUCCUCCGGAGCACCCACGGGACUGUGUGCUGGGGUCCCUCCACCGGCUGUGUCCUUUAUUCUUCUUUCUCACCCAACGAUUUACCUGAACGGUUAUAAAGUGCACGUUAUUUCCCUAAGCACUUUGAGUAUAUUGGCCCACUGCAUUCUGGACUUCAAAAUUUCUGAUGCGAAAUAUGCUGAUACUUUUGUUGAAGAAAUCUGGUCCUUCUUACUGAUGUGUUGCUCUUCUUCAUGGCUCGUGAAAACUAUUAGAGUCAUCCAAGAUGUGUCACAGGGCAGUCCUUGUUAGAGGAUAGUGAGAUGUGUUGAAUGGUGUCUUUGGGAUCCUCAAGCACAGAUUGUAAACUCUGCUUCAAGUUUUACAGUGUCUCAGAUUCAAAUCUUCUUUGCCUGCAAUGAUAAACAGAGACACAGCCUUCUCUGAAAACAAAUAUAUCUCAUAAGGAUGUCCUCCACUUCUCCAGUCCUCAUCCCGCACAGCCUAUAAGGUGCUGAGCAAUUGAUAGAUCCUAGAAAAGUCCUGAAGUGCUUCAAGCAAACAAAAG
rnacentral:lncRNA from 1 species